rnacentral:rRNA from 1 species
AUGAGUAUCUUCAGGUUGGCUGCGUCAGUUUGCGAUGACUUGACAAGGAUGAUGAGGCAGUACUGGUGGGGGGUGGAGAAUGGUAAGAGGGAGAUGGCCUGGCUUAGUUGGAAGAAGAUGGUGGUUCCAAAGUCUAUGGGGGGCAUGGGCUUCCAUGACAUGAGAGCUUUCAAUCACGCCCUGCUUGCUAAGCAGGCAUGGCGUCUGUUGGAUUGCCCAAAUAUCCUGUGUGCACGACUUCUUAGAGCAAAAUAUUACCCCCAUGGUAAUUUGUUGGAUACAGUGUUUCCGACCAGCUCGUCUGCAGUUUGGAAGGGGAUUGUACAUGGUCUUGAGUAG